GCCCUCAAGUGACUUUCCCCAUCAGAUCUAAACACCGGUCUGAGUUGGUACAACAGGAGGAAAAGUAACUUUGAAAAUGACUUCAGUGGUUUUGUAGCACAUGGGCCAGCUUCAAACCUUU
rnacentral:snoRNA from 1 species